CCCCGCACGCAUGCGCAUGCCUACGCACAGGGGUCUUACACACACUUCACCGCUUUCGCUGAAGGGAGUCAGACUGACAUGUCCAGGAUUUUAUCGAAGGAACUUGAAAACAUUUCAGCUUUGUGGGCAGAUUCCAUUCCGGAUGAGGACAUUGAUAAACAAGAACACAAGCACGAUCGAAAUAUGAGAAAAAUACAAUAAUUACCAGAAUACACCGUCAACAAGUAUAUUUUCUAUGCUGUCAACACCAUGGCAUUUGGACUGUGGAGACUUACUCCAAGCUACUCCCGUCUACUUCAGAACCAGGUCUCCGCCGGAGUGGAGAUGACAAAGUCUGCAGAUGUCCGUCUGAACCGUCUGGCCAUCCUGCUUGGCCUCCUGGGCAUCGGGGUGUCAUCUUAUGCAGUGCAGAAGAUGGUUCACCUCAAACGUGGGGCCGAUGUAAUUGACCGUGAUUAAGGAGAACACGUGCGACACUGCGAGGGACAAAAUGUUGUCCCUCAUGAUUCCAGACCUUACAUAAAGGAUCACCAAGUCCAUGAUGUUGCUAGACCACCAACAACCACCUUGCAGAUCCCAUGUGACCAGCUACUCAAGCUCAAACAUUUUACUCGUCAUGAAGGGACUUCAUCAAGAAGUCAUCCAGAAGUCCCUCGCUGCCUGGAUUGCCGUUUCCACAUCGUUCCGAGGGGCUUAAAUUUGGUUAUCAUCUUCCUGUGCCUAGUCUGGGAUAUUUUUUUUGUGGAGGCAGUCACAGGUGGAGUUGGACCAUCCAUGAAACCACACUCAACACCACCGGAAUGCGUGGAUUGGUGGUCGCCACUCAUUCUAUCUGACCCACGUCCAUCUGUCCAUUUGCCCUUUCUGCCC